rnacentral:rRNA from 1 species
UACAGAGGCCCCAAGCAUUAUCCGGAUUUACUGGGCGUAAAGGGUGCGUAGGCGGUUAUAUUAGUCGGGUGUUAAAUCCCGGGGCUCAACCCCGGAAUCGCAUUCGAAACGGUAUAACUAGAAUAAGUCAGAGGCAAGCAGAACUCACGGUGUAGGGGUGAAAUCCGUUGAUAUCGUGGGGAAUACCAAAUGCGAAGGCAGCUUGCUGGGACUUUAUUGACGCUGAGGCACGAAAGCGUGGGUAGCGAAUCGG